CAGGUUUUGAGGGAGCGUGCAAUUGGUAGGCUGACUGCAGGAAUGCCCACCAGAUCUGUUGCCAGAGAAUUGAAUGUUAAUUUCUCUACCAUAACCCGCCUCCAACAUCAUUUUAAAGCAUUUGGAAGUCCGUCCAACCGGCCUCACAACAGCAGACCACGUGUAACCAAGCCAGCCCAGGACCUCCACAUCUGGCUUCUUCACCUGCGGGAUCGUAUGAGACCAGCCACCUGGACAGCUGAUGAAACGUUCUUGCCAAUUUCGCACAGCCAUUGAAGAGGAUUGGGACAACAUUCCACAGGCCACAAUCAAGUCUACUUAACUCUCUGCAAAGGAGAGGUGUCACUUUGCAUGUGGCAAAUGGUGGUCACACCAGAUACUGACUGGUUUUCUGAUCCAUGACCCUACCUUUUUUUUAAGGAAAGUAAUCAGGGGCUCCCGAGUGGUGCAGAGGUCUAAGGCACUGCAUUUCACUGCUAGAGACAUCACAACAGACCCUGGUUUGACCCCGGGCUGUAUCUCAACUGGCCGUGAUCGGGAGUCCCCAUAGGGCGCCGCAUAAUUGGUCCAGCGUCGUCCGGUUUAGGGCAGGGUUUGGCCUGGGUCCCUUGAAGCUGUCCUCUGACAACCAUCACCUCUGGAUGUUCUACUACCAACAGACCUGCAGUAAUUCAGUUGAGUAUUUUUAGAGUUUAUCGUUGGUGCUGUUGUGGGGAAAUGACAGGGUAUAUCAUUCAAUAGUGUUUAUGUGAGACUGAAUAUUUGCAAUCAAGUCAGUGUUAGGGAUCAGUACGUUUGGUGCAUUCGGGAAGUAUUUAGUCCCUUUUUCUUCCACAUUUUGUUACAUUACAUUUUGUUACUCCUCAUCAAUCAACACACAAUACCCCAUAAUGACAAAGUGAAAACAGGUUUUUAGAAUUUAAAAAACUGAAAUGCCUUAUUUACAUAAGUAUUCAGACCCUUUGCUAUGACACUCAAAAUUGAGCUCAGGUGCAUCCUGUUUCCAUUAAUGAUCCUUGAGAUGUUUCCACAAGUUGAUUGGAGUCCACCUGUGGUAAAUUGAACUGAUUGGAUAUGAUUUGGAAAGUCACAUACCUGUCGAUACAAGGUCCCACAGUUGACCGUGCAUGCCAGAGCAAAAGCCAAGCCAUGAAGUCAAAGGAAUUGUCCUUAGAGCUCCGAGACAGGAUUGUGUCGAGGCACAGAACUGGGGAAUGGUACCAAAAAAUGUCUGCAGCAUUGAAGGUCCCCAAGAGCACAGUGGCCUCCAUUCUUAAAUAGAAGUAUGGAACCACUAAGACUCUUCCUAGAGCUGUACCAGUGACCAGUAAAACAUAGCGUCAGAAUUGAUAACAGCCCGGCCAAACCAAGUUAUCGGGUACUACAGUAUUGCUGUCCCUCUGGUGUUAUGGUAUACUACAAUAUUUGGUGAUAUUGUCCCUCUAUAGUGUUAUGGGAUGGUACUGUUCCUCUGGUGUUAUGGGGUACUACAGUAUUUGGUGGUACUGUCUCUCUGUGGUGUUAUGGGGUACUACAGUAUUUGGUGGGGU
ensembl:lncRNA